GAACCUACCUGGCAGGGGAGGAUUGGUGGUCACGAUGGCUUAUCUCCCGAGACAAGGCUAUCCCAUUGCACUUCAUGUGUGCUGAUGCCUGCGAUAUCCUCAUAUGUGGGAUAUUUGACUACACAAUUUGUGGUAGCUGGGGACUGCGUUCGCAUUG